GCGGAUGAUGACUACGGCGGAUUCCCGAAGGGUGAGGAGGACCUUAGGGUCUGACG
rnacentral:misc_RNA from 1 species